GCUCAGUGUAUCUGAUAAAUUCGUUGUAG
rnacentral:sRNA from 1 species